UACGUAGGGAGCAAGCGUUGUCCGGAAUCAUUGGGCGUAAAGCGCGCGUAGGCGGCCCUGUAAGUCCGCUGUGAAAGUCAAAGGCUCAACCUUUGAAAGCCGGUGGAUACUGCAGGGCUAGAGUCCGGAAGAGGCGAGUGGAAUUCCUGGUGUAGCGGUGGAAUGCGCAGAUAUCAGGAGGAACACCGGUGGUGUAGACGGCUUUCUGGGACGGUACUGACGCUGAGACGCGAAAGCGUGGGGAGCAAACAGG
rnacentral:rRNA from 1 species